UACAGAGGUCCCAAGCGUUGUUCGGAAUUACUGGGCGUAAAGGGCGCGUAGGCGGUUUGCUAAGUUGAAUGUGAAAACUCUGGGCUUAACCCAGAGCCUGCAUUCAAUACUGGCAGGCUGGAGUUCUGGAGGGGAUAGCGGAAUUCCUGGUGUAGCGGUGAAAUGCGUAGAUAUCAGGAGGAACACCGGUGGCGAAGGCGGCUAUCUGGACAGAAACUGACGCUGAGGCGCGAAAGCUAGGGGAGCAAACAGG
rnacentral:rRNA from 1 species